rnacentral:rRNA from 1 species
GAUGAACGCUAGCGGCAGGCCUAAUACAUGCAAGUCGAACGGGAUCUGAGGGUAGCUUGCUACCCGAUUUGAGAGUGGCGCACGGGUGCGUAACGCGUGAGCAACCUACCCAUAUCAGGGGGAUAGCCCGAAGAAAUUCGGAUUAACACCGCAUAAUAAUACGCUAACACAUGUUAAUGUAUUUAAAUAUUUAUAGGAUAUGGAUGGGCUCGCGUGACAUUAGCUAGUUGGUAAGGUAACGGCUUACCAAGGCGACGAUGUCUAGGGGCUCUGAGAGGGGAAUCCCCCACACUGGUACUGAGACACGGACCAGACUCCUACGGGAGGAAGCAGUAAGGAAUAUUGGUCAAUGGGCGCAAGCCUGAACCAGCCAUGCCGCGUGCAGGAUGACUGCCCUAUGGGUUGUAAACUGCUUUUGUACGGGAAUAACCCUUUCUAUGUAUAGGAAGCUGAAUGUACCGUAAGAAUAAGGAUCGGCUAACUCCGUGCCAGCAGCCGCCGUAAUAC